GCCAAUUGAAUCGCAACGAAAACGGUGGUUGUAUUUGAUGUUUAAUUAAAAUGUAUGGAUUUCGGCAAACAAAAGCAUGCAACCACAGAGGACAAACAAAAGGUACACGCCCUCUAUGUGGCAGUAGGCCUCCAGGCUGGAGAAGAGGAUGUAGAGGAACCAGAGGCCCAGGAAGAGGAGGCAGGUGAUGAUGCGUGCUGUCCGCGGCCCGCCCAGCUCCCCCCCGAUAGAGGGCCGCCGGCGGAACAGUAGCACGCCCAUGCAGAUGAAGGCGAAGCUGGUGAAGAGGGUGACGGAGAAGGCCAGGGAGCCCGGGUCCACGUGGAACUCCUUGCCCUGCACCUUCCAGUAGACAGCCGCCACCGACCACGCCACCCCGAUGCCCAGGAAUACGUUGACCGCGUUGCUGCCCGUCACGUUGCCCACCGACGCGUCAGCGUGCUGGUCCUGCAUAGCCGCCACCUUGCUGGCAAACGUGUCUGAAGAGGGAGGGAGGAGGGGGGGAAGGUAGGGAGAGAAGAAAGACAAGUGAAGAAGUGAGAGAGAGAAGUACCUGUCAUCACGGCUUUCAUCAUCUUAGUCAUACUGUUGUCAUAAGUCAACCACAACAGGUAACCAAACAUAUUUCGUUGUAGUCACACCAUACACACAAGGAUUUCACUAACUGGCCAAGCUGCAAAGCAGGAAGUUCUGCAAUUUCCCAAACCGUAAUGCUAUUACUGGCAACUUUAUACCUAACCCCUCAUAAAAUGAGGACUGGUUAUGGUAUUUAAAUGACAUUAAGAUAUACACUGAACAAAAACAGAAACGCAACAUGUAAAGUGUUGGUCACAUGUUUCAUGAGCUGUAAUAAAAGAUCCCUGAAAUGUUCCAUAUGCACAAAAAGCUUAUUUCUCUCAAAUUGUGUGCACACAUUCGUUUAUAUCCUUUUAAUGAGAAUUUCUCCUUUGCCAAGAUAAUCCACCCACCUGACAGUUGUGGCAUAUCAAGAAGCUGAUUAAACAGCAUGAUCAUUACACAGGUGCACCUUGUGCUGGGGACAAUAAAAGGCCACUCUAAAAUGUGCAGUUUUGUCACAACCCAAUGUCACAGAUGAUCCAUGUUUUUAGGGAGCGCCCAAUUGGCAUGCUGACUGCAGGAAUGUCCACCACAGCUGUUGCCAGAGAAUUUAAUGUCAAUGUCUCUACCAUAAGCCGUCUCCAACAUCGUUUUAGAGAAUUUGGCAGUGUGUCCAACCGGCCUCACCACCGCAGACCCAGGGCUCUACAGUGCGAUUAUUUCACUCGCAUUUGCCCCUAAAAAUAGAUAUGUGCGAACCGGAAAAAAUAUUCACGAGCACAGUGUGCGAUUAAAGAUUACAACCUACCGUAAUCUAUUUUUCCCCCGCUGAUAAUUGUUUAAAAACUAAAAGUCCCACAUUCCACAAACGGCAUGCGCCAACCACAGUAGUUUUCUGUGAUGACGCAGUCCAGUCAGAGAGAGAAAGGUGAACAACACUGGAAAAUAGUAUCGGUAUAGGCUAUAAGUUAGCGUGCAGACAUCGCUAAAGAUGAAGCCCAUUCAAUUUUAUUUUAAGCGAAAAAAAGAGACGAGAAGAAAAAGGAAUCCGGCGAGGGGGAUUCGCCGCAAGGUUCAACUAAUGAAGCCUCUUCACAAGGUUUACCUGAGGCGGCUAACGUUGACAUGGCGGCUAACGUUAGGGAUGCUACCGUGACCCCCACUGUCACUUCAACGUCCACUGUAGCCGGUGGAGGGAGAACAUAUAGAUUCAAUGCGAAUUGGCUCAAAAUGUUCCCAUGGCUAGAGUUCGAAAACAAUGUCAUGUUCUGCAAAUAUUGUAGAGGGCAGAAACAGGCGGGCUCGUCUUUCGUGUCAGGAAACCCGCACCUGAAAAGAGAGAGCGUAACAAAACAUUACAUCUCGCGCCGGCAUAUCCAGUGCAGAGAUCUGUACCUGUUGAGAGAAACCGUCAGGCACGGUGUCGUGCUGCCCUCUGAGGAACAAAAUAAACAAAAUAAAGAUAAACAUCGCAUACUUCAUUGCGAAAUAAGAAGAACCUUUAGUCAAAUUUGUGCCGCUUAUCAGACUCCACCACAAAAACGGAGUUGACAUUAAUCCUACAUACAAUGAUGUAAAAUGUGCGGAGAUGAUCGGUCAAAUUGCUGACAUAAUGAAAGAGAGUCUGUCAGCGGAGCUGAAAGCCGCGAAGUAUCUUGCCGUUCUAAUAGAUGGAGACACUGAUAUAUCCAACACCGAAUGCGAGAUUGUCUACGUACGCUUGUUGGAGGAUGGGAAGCCAGUCAAUCUCCUGGUCGGACAACAGACACUUGAGCACUCUCAUGCCAAUGGUGUUUUGGAUGCCACCAAGGCCACAUUUCGUGCUGUUUUUCCCAGAGGAGGAUGGAGGGUCAUGGUUGAAGAAGUGCAUCUCCUUCGGGGCAGAUGGUGCCUCAGUGAACAUGGGCCACCGUGGGGGAGUGAUUGCCCACCUGCAGAGAGAGGCAGGGGGGCAUAUGAUCCCAAUCCACUGUAUGCCACAUAGACUAGAGCUGGCAAUACUGACCAUUCAGGAGAAAGAGCCAAAGGUGUCUGUCGUGUACGAUCUUCUGAAUCUGAUAUGGAAGACGUAUCACUUCAGCGGAAAAUCCAUACGAGAGCUCUAUGUUCUCGGGCAACCGUCUAGCGUCAAAGGAACUCGCUGGAUCCCCCAUGUCCACAUAGCCCUCAAAGUGUUCCUACGGCAUGGACAAGACAAGGACCUUGCCACUGACGAAGGCCAGUACUCUGUUGUUCUGCAGCACAUGGAGCGCCUGGCCGUAGCAUCAACAACAGCGGAAGUUCAAGGGCGGGCAAAGAAGACAUGUUUGAGGAGCUGUCCUCACUUAGCCUCACCCUGCAGAGGAAUGACCUGAUCCUCCCCCAAGCCACGUCAGAGUUGAGGAAGACAGUGACCAGACUGGAAGCAUUAAAGCUUAGGGCAAAGGCAGGAGGCAUGCUGGAGAAGAUCCAUACCAUGCUUGCUCAGCAGCGGGGUGAUGAGAGGAGAUUCCAGAGAAUAACACUGAAGGGGAAUCUGAAAGGCUUCACGGACCUCGCCAAUCCCCAGCUGAAGCAGCACAUGGAGGCGGCCAUCAACAUGGAUGAUCUCAAAGCCAGGUUUGGUGGUUUGCUGAAGGAUGAGGGUGUCCAGACCUCAGUGGAGUCUUUCAGAGUGCUAAACCCUGACACAUGACCAGAAGACCAGGUCAGCCUUCUCACCUUUGGCGAUGAUGGUGUGGCAGACCUGAUGAGGCAUUUCAAGAAGCCUCGUGAGGCAAGAAUUUAUUUAUUUAUUUUUCACCCCUUUUUUCUCCCAAAUUUCGUGGUAUCCAAUUGGUAGUAGUUACAGUCAUGUCUCAUCGCUGCAACUCCCGUACGGACUCGGGAGAGGCGAAGGUCGAGAGCCGUGCGUCCACCGAAACACAACCCAACCAAGCCCUACUGCUUCUUGACACAAUGCCCAUCCAACCCAGAAGCCAGCCGCAUC